UGGUUAGGUAAAUAAUUAAUGAUGUUUUUGUCUAGAAAAUAUAAGAAAUUAAUGGUUUUCUUAAUCUACGUGUAUAGCUGUAAAACGACUUAUAUUAAAAAACGGAGGGAGUAUACUUUAUAAAGUGAAUCCACUCUCUCGUAAGUCGUAGCUAAUAAGCAUACUUUCAACUGAGUUACAAUUUCUUAAAAUUAUAGUACAUGAGGAACUUAUAUUUGAUGCUACAAAAGGACGUUCAUAUGACCUAGAAUUAUGUUUCAAAAUACUUUUCCUCGGUUUCAGAAUUUGUACUUUACACUCAUAUUAACCUUUUCGAAACACUGGUUUUAAUUUUUCUUUUAUUUUUCCGAAAUCCUAUUUACAUAAGUUUCGAGAUACUGCGAUGAUGAAG
rnacentral:lncRNA from 1 species